rnacentral:rRNA from 1 species
UACGUAGGGUGCAAGCGUUGUCCGGAAUUAUUGGGCGUAAAGAGCUCGUAGGCGGUUUGUCGCGUCGGCUGUGAAAACUCGGGGCUCAACCCCGAGCCUGCAGUCGAUACGGGCAGACUAGAGUGCGGUAGGGGAGACUGGAAUUCCUGGUGUAGCGGUGAAAUGCGCAGAUAUCAGGAGGAACACCGAUUGCGAAGGCAGCUCGCUGGGACGUUACUGACGCUGAGACGCGAAAGCGUGGGGAGCAAACAGG